UACGUAGGGUGCGAGCGUUGUCCGGAAUCACUGGGCGUAAAGGGUGCGUAGGCGGGUUUUUAAGUCAGGGGUGAAAUCCUGGAGCUCAACUCCAGAACUGCCUUUGAUACUGAAGAUCUUGAGUCCGGGAGAGGUGAGUGGAACUGCGAGUGUAGAGGUGAAAUUCGUAGAUAUUCGCAAGAACACCAGUGGCGAAGGCGGCUCACUGGCCCGGUACUGACGCUGAGGUGCGAAAGCGUGGGGAGCAAACAGG
rnacentral:rRNA from 1 species